rnacentral:rRNA from 1 species
UACGUAGGGUGCGAGCGUUGUCCGGAAUUAUUGGGCGUAAAGAGCUCGUAGGCGGUUUGUCGCGUCGACUGUGAAAACCUACAGCUUAACUGUGGGCUUGCAGUCGAUACGGGCAGACUUGAGUUCGGUAGGGGAGACUGGAAUUCCUGGUGUAGCGGUGAAAUGCGCAGAUAUCAGGAGGAACACCGGUGGCGAAGGCGGGUCUCUGGGCCAUAACUGACGCUGAGGAGCGAAAGCGUGGGGAGCGAACAGG